AGCACUAUAACAGGUCGCCGGGAGAGGUGGUGGAUACCCCAUCCUUGGAGACAUUCAAGGCGAGGAUGUACAUGGCACUGAGCAACUUGAUCUAGCUGUAUGUGUCACUGUUAAUUGCAGACAACAGACUAGAUGGGGAGCAAUAUGUCACCUUCUCUGGACACUGAUUUCUUCAGAAGGCAUUUUCCUGCAACAUGAAUAUUGGGUUCAAGUCUCCAUUUUUAAUGUGACAGAGUUCGGGCAUGAUGGUAAUAUUUCUGCCAAAAUCGACUACAGUAAUCUUAAUUCCCUAUAGGCAGCCUAAUGCCUGAAGACUGACGGCAAGGAAAUCUAUACUGGAAAUGAAUUUCCAUUGACAAAACUUAAUAGUUUGUCAUUGACAAGGCCUUCAGUCACUUUGAAGAAUUGGGAAAAUAGGGCCAUCAGUAGUUUUCGGUAUGUUGUCCUACCCUUGCUGCAUUCAGAGAGAUGAGUCCUCAUUCAAG
ensembl:lncRNA